rnacentral:rRNA from 1 species
GAUGAACGCUGGCGGCGUGCCUAAUACAUGCAAGUCGAGCGAACGGACGAGAAGCUUGCUUCUCUGAUGUUAGCGGCGGACGGGUGAGUAACACGUGGAUAACCUACCUAUAAGACUGGGAUAACUUCGGGAAACCGGAGCUAAUACCGGAUAAUAUUUUGAACCGCAUGGUUCAAAAGUGAAAGACGGUCUUGCUGUCACUUAUAGAUGGAUCCGCGCUGCAUUAGCUAGUUGGUAAGGUAACGGCUUACCAAGGCAACGAUGCAUAGCCGACCUGAGAGGGUGAUCGGCCACACUGGAACUGAGACACGGUCCAGACUCCUACGGGAGGCAGCAGUAGGGAAUCUUCCGCAAUGGGCGAAAGCCUGACGGAGCAACGCCGCGUGAGUGAUGAAGGUCUUCGGAUCGUAAAACUCUGUUAUUAGGGAAGAACAUAUGUGUAAGUAACUGUGCACAUCUUGACGGUACCUAAUCAGAAAGCCACGGCUAACUACGUGCCAGCAGCCGCGGUAAUACGUAGGUGGCAAGCGUUAUCCGGAAUUAUUGGGCGUAAAGCGCGCGUAGGCGGUUUUUUAAGUCUGAUGUGAAAGCCCACGGCUCAACCGUGGAGGGUCAUUGGAAACUGGAAAACUUGAGUGCAGAAGAGGAAAGUGGAAUUCCAUGUGUAGCGGUGAAAUGCGCAGAGAUAUGGAGGAACACCAGUGGCGAAGGCGACUUUCUGGUCUGUAACUGACGCUGAUGUGCGAAAGCGUGGGGAUCAAACAGGAUUAGAUACCCUGGUAGUCCACGCCGUAAACGAUGAGUGCUAAGUGUUAGGGGGUUUCCGCCCCUUAGUGCUGCAGCUAACGCAUUAAGCACUCCGCCUGGGGAGUACGACCGCAAGGUUGAAACUCAAAGGAAUUGACGGGGACCCGCACAAGCGGUGGAGCAUGUGGUUUAAUUCGAAGCAACGCGAAGAACCUUACCAAAUCUUGACAUCCUCUGACCCCUCUAGAGAUAGAGUUUUCCCCUUCGGGGGACAGAGUGACAGGUGGUGCAUGGUUGUCGUCAGCUCGUGUCGUGAGAUGUUGGGUUAAGUCCCGCAACGAGCGCAACCCUUAAGCUUAGUUGCCAUCAUUAAGUUGGGCACUCUAAGUUGACUGCCGGUGACAAACCGGAGGAAGGUGGGGAUGACGUCAAAUCAUCAUGCCCCUUAUGAUUUGGGCUACACACGUGCUACAAUGGACAAUACAAAGGGUAGCGAAACCGCGAGGUCAAGCAAAUCCCAUAAAGUUGUUCUCAGUUCGGAUUGUAGUCUGCAACUCGACUACAUGAAGCUGGAAUCGCUAGUAAUCGUAGAUCAGCAUGCUACGGUGAAUACGUUCCCGGGUCU